rnacentral:lncRNA from 1 species
CAAAAAAGGCAAUAUACGAGAAACCAAGAAAUUAGUGAACGAUAGGUUUUCUUGCAAUUUUCUCUAUUUAUUUUAUGUUGUUCAGUAUACCUUCUGACAAAGGAUGCACCUGAGGGAGGAAAGGUUCCAGACGCGGAUCUGAAGGCUGGGGAUGGCGGGGAAGAAGAAGCGGUCGUCAGGGCUGAGGGAGAGGGCAGCGACGGCCUCGGAGUCGCCCUCGAGGGUCCCCUGGAAAGAGGCCUCCGCAGCAUUGACGACCUUGAUUUGGUCGCCGCAGGCGCAGGCGAGGAAGGCACCGCCGCUGUAGAGCUGCGGCGGCGUGGGUACGCACCGGUGGUUCCACUCAGGCCCAUUGGAGACGCGCCGUCGUCGGGGGUGGCGAGGUUUUUGCUAGGGUUUGGAAGGUACCGGCAAGGGGGCAGAGAGAGACCGAGAAAGAGCCCGUCGGAGCGAAGACCGGCGGGU